GGAUGUGAGGACUAUCUGGCCAUGGCAUCUAUCACCCCAUUGAUCAUCAAGGUUGAUUUGGCUGAUAUAGCUGGCUAGGCGGGUGUCCCCUUCCUCCCUCAACAUUCCAUGUGUGUUCCUCCCGAAGCUGCACUCUCUGUUGAAGAGGACGACCAUCCCCAAUAGAGGAAGACCAUUCCUUGUUCAAGGGUACAAGAGUAGCUGUGCUCCUCUGCUAGAACCUCCAAACAAGCUCUCAAAAACAAGUUGAGUAUAUUCACUACCUUUUUGAAAAAUUUUCAAACUUUUAUAAGAUGAUGGUCAUGUUGUAUUAA
rnacentral:snRNA from 1 species